rnacentral:lncRNA from 1 species
GCGCUUCUAUAUCCUAAGUAUUAGGGCUAAUAACCGCCCUGCAAGGCUCCAAAAAGGUAUUUGUUUCUCUUACCAUGACAAUGAUGCAGCUCCCAGCACACAGGAAAGUGCCGUCAGAUAACACACAUAUUCGUCUCCCUUUCUUUUGUGUGUGCGCGUGUGUGCUCAGAUAUUCAUUUUUUCCCACUUCGUGAAUCAUUCAUGCCCGCUAUAUUCAUUCAGCCUGAUGCUCAACAAUUUUUUUUUUGCAUACACGCUUGUGGUAUUACUUACUGAUGUUUCUUUUGCCGUGCAGGGGAUGCUCUUUAGAAAAUUUGUUACCUCUAAAGCCAUAUUUUCUGAAAUGAAAUUUGAUCAUUCCUAUGCCCCCUCCAUUUUCUUGAAUUGAAGUUCCAUCAUAGUUUGCAGAAAUCAGCUUAUUAGUUGUCCUCUUAGAUCAAUCCUCAAGUUUGUUAUAAGUUGUUUGCCACCUUAUGACUAAUGACAAUGUUCUAAAUAAAACAAAUUGUACUUCCAUAUGUGUCUAGCUCUCCAUGUUUCAAUUUCUCAGAAGUAAAGACGCACUUCAAUAAUUUUAAGCUAAGCUUCUUGCUUGCUUUCCGGAAUAAUUAUUUUGUUAUAUGUGCCAACUGGCUACAUUCAAUUUAACCUUUGCUUUAUGGUAUAAUAAUAUUCAAAUAUUUCAUGAGGUCAUGGGUUUGAGUCAUGCCUCUUGCAGAAAUGUAGGGAAAGACUGCAUAGUACGACCCAAAGCAGUCGAACCCUUACCGGACCCUAUGCAAGCGGGAGCUACGUGCACCGGGCCGCUCCCUUUAUGGUAAUAAUAAUAUUCAAAUAUUUCAUUAUGUGAUGAGGUGACAUUAUUAGAGGCUAAUUCACCUUGGAUUGUUCUAUUCCUCUCCAGAAAAGAUUUGCAUAUAUACGACAUGUGCACUGUGAUUGGAUUGCAACUGAGUUGCAUUUGUCCUUAUCAUUCUAUUGUACUAGAGUGCAUGCAUUCUCACUUUUGUAUUGUCUAUUUAUACAAACAACCGUAGAUAACUUAUGCUACUCCACGGUAUUAACAUACUUACUAAUUGAAAAAGCACCUUAUGAUCUGUACAAUUGCCCUUGAUAUGUCCACUAUAUUUUCCUAAUGCAUGUCCACUAUUCUUCUCUAUAUUUUUAACGAUUGGCUAUGUUUUAUUCAACCAUAUAGUUUUUCAAAGUGUUAUAUAUCAUCU